AUUGAACGCUGGCGGCAGGCUUAACACAUGCAAGUCGAGCGGAGAUGAGGUGCUUGCACCUUAUCUUAGCGGCGGACGGGUGAGUAAUGCUUAGGAAUCUGCCUAUUAGUGGGGGACAACAUUCCGAAAGGAAUGCUAAUACCGCAUACGUCCUACGGGAGAAAGCAGGGGAUCUUCGGACCUUGCGCUAAUAGAUGAGCCUAAGUCGGAUUAGCUAGUUGGUGGGGUAAAGGCCUACCAAGGCGACGAUCUGUAGCGGGUCUGAGUGGAUGAUCCGCCACACUGGGACUGAGACACGGCCCAGACUCCUACGGGAGGCAGCAGUGGGGAAUAUUGGACAAUGGGGGGAACCCUGAUCCAGCCAUGCCGCGUGUGUGAAGAAGGCCUUAUGGUUGUAAAGCACUUUAAGCGAGGAGGAGGCUACUGAGACUAAUACUCUUGGAUAGUGGACGUUACUCGCAGAAUAAGCACCGGCUAACUCUGUGCCAGCCGCCGCCAGUAACAC
rnacentral:rRNA from 1 species